rnacentral:rRNA from 1 species
CAAUAGCGUAUAUUAACGUUGUUGCAGUUAAAAAGCUCGUAGUUGGAUUUCUGGAGGGAGCGUCGGCCCGUAUUUACGAGUGCGUGACGUCUCUGUCCAUCCUUGCGGGAAGGCACGGCAUUGAUUUGUUGUGUCGGAUCGCAUCAUUUACUGUGAAAAAAUUAGAGUGUUCAAAGCAGGCUUUCGCUUGAAUACAUUAGCGUGGAAUAAUAAGAUAGGACUUUGGUGCUAUUUUGUUGGUUGAGCCUAAAGUAAUGAUUAAUAGGGAUAGUUGGGGGCACCUGUAUUGCGUUGUCAGAGGUGAAAUUCUUGGAUUUACGCAAGACAAACAGCUGCGAANGNGUCUGCNAAGGAUGUUUNCAUUA